rnacentral:rRNA from 1 species
AAGAUAGGUAAGAUUGUUAGACCUUUAGUAGAGGAGUAAAAUCUAAAUANUAAAAGUUAUACCGGAGAUAGUUUAUUUAGGAUGUUGAAUCUGUGACAGCUUUAAGGGAAACUGGGAUUGGAUACCCCAUUAUUUUUAGUUAUAAAUUUAGUUUAGGCUUACCUGAGUACUACGAAUAAAAAGUUUAAAACUCAAAGGGCUUGGCGGUGUUUUAGACCCCUCAGGGGAACCUGUCUCGUAAUCGACAGUCCACGUUAAACCUAACCUUUUAUGGUAAUACAGCUUGUAUACCGUCGUCGUCAGGUAACUUCUUAAAAUAUAGUAGUUAGCUUGAGAAUUUGAUUAAUUAAAACGUCAGAUCAAGGUGCAGCUAAUGAAAAGGUGAGGAUGGGUUACAAUUACAUAUUUGUAAUUACGGAAAAUACUUGAAAUGAAGCAUUUUAAAGGAGGACUGAAAGUAAUUUUAAUUAUAUAAAUAGAAUGAAUAAGGCUCUG